AUUGAACGCUGGCGGCAGGCCUAACACAUGCAAGUCGAGCGGAUGAAGUGAGCUUGCUCCUGGAUUCAGCGGCGGACGGGUUAGUAAUGCCUAGGAUUCUGCCUGGUUGUGGGGGCUAACGUCCGGAGACGGGCGCUAAUACCGCAUACGUCUUGAGGGAGAAAUUGGUGGAUCUUCGGACCUCACUCUAUCAGAUGAGCCUAGGUCGGAUUAGCUAGUUGGUGGGGUAAAGGCCUACCAAGGCGACGAUCCGUAACUGGUCUGAGAGGAUGAUCAGUCACACUGGAACUGAGACACGGUCCAGACUCCUACGGGAGGCAGCAGUGGGGAAUAUUGGACAAUGGGCGAAAGCCUGAUCCAGCCAUGCCGCGUGUGUGAAGAAGGUCUUCGGAUUGUAAAGCACUUUAAGUUGGGAGGAAGGGCAGUAAGUUAAUACCUUGCUGUUUUGACGGUACCAACAGAAUAAGCACCGGCUAACUUCGUG
rnacentral:rRNA from 1 species